UGAAGAGGCAAAAUGACUACAAGAGAAGAGAACAUAACAUGUCUUCUAUAAGAGGAUCCUGAUGAACUGGAAGCAAAUAAUUCACCAUCCCAGAGGCUGAACCAGAUAGUACUGAAGAGGAACAAUGGUCCGUUCCUGGACAACUGAAGGGCAAGUCAGAAGGCCUGACACCUGAGAAGUUGACUUUUAUUUUCCUCUGUUCUAGAGCAGAGCAAAAAGUUAUGUGACUGAGUCACUGGGAAAUAUGACACUGAGCGUAUUCUGGUAGAAAUUAGGCUGUGUGAAUACUGACUAAACUUCUCUAAAGGAGAGGAGAAUAGAAGAACUAUAGAAUAAUGUCUCAUUGCUUCAGCACUAGGUUUAUAAGUAAAUAGAAUCCAAAAGAGGUUUCACUCUAAUAUUUGUUACUCCUGUAGAAGAAGAAAUGAAACACAUAACAGAUUUCAUUACACUGGCUGUCUAAGAACAAGGAGAAAUGGUGACAGGAGACAUACCUUGCUCCCAGCAGUCCUGCCAGAUAAACCAGGGAGUCCCUUUCUACACCAGUGAACUGGCUAAAAGAAAGAACACAAUCCUCCAGAGGGGUAACUCCUUCCAUUACUGGGACUGGUGUGAAAAGUGGAUUGGACUGGGGAUCUAAAAGGAGCUGCUGUUCCACACAUGUUAUCUUAAAGAAGGUGAAAGAGAGAACAAUGCAGAUCAAGCCAAAUAGCAACAAAUCCAAUGAUGCUUCAGCAACUGUAUGAUAGCAUUUAUGGACUCAACAACAAGCAAUCUUGCUUCCGUCAUUAUAUCUGACACAAGUUAUUUCCCACUGAAUCAGACAAAUUCUUUUUUAGACUAUUUUAAUUUUGUCAGGUUUGACAUACUGAGUCGCUAUUCAGAACUUUUCAGUUACUACUCUUCCAACCCUGGAGGCUCCCUCAAAGUAGCUCAAGGUGUGAUGUGAGAUCUGUGUAGGUUUACUUCACAGAAAGUUACCAAGUACUGAAAAAUACUAACAGCAGUUAGCCUACACCAUGUGCCCUCUCUUGGAAAAUAUGGUUAAUAUUUUUUGGCUUUGAGCUGUAAAGCUGACUUGCUCUUCUGCCCCAAGUUAAAAAGCCGUAAAAAGCAUGAAACAAGAAAAACGUAAGCACAAGAAUAUGAAAUGAAAUCACUAUUAGUCAACUAGCUCCUUCUACAAUUCAUUAUUUAGAGAAAAUGCUGCCAGACUUUCAUAUAAGAAGCCUUUGAGUCAUGACAAUGAAUUCCUGUUUAACAAACCUGUAGAAAAUGAAAUGAAACACAUAAAAGAUACCUUAUAUUUGCAGAGGCUUUAAAGCAUGCUUUCAUUUAGUACAUUUCAAAUGAAAUGGGGCUAAUCUCUCAGUAUGUUACUUAAAUGUAAGUCACCGAUAACUCUGCAUUCCGACAAGUCGUAUUUCUAAUAUAGAUACCUGUUUACUUGUGGAACUGAAAGUCUAACUCUCUUACCAGCCAUGUAUUUGUGACAACAUCACCAACAGUCGGCUUCACCGUGCACCCCAAUAAAGGUACCACAGCAUAGUCUGCAAUGGUUCUGCUUUGCAGCGGCAGAAUUUUCCCAGCAUUCUCCUUUAUAAUAUCUGCAAUGUAGGACUCAUCCUCUUCACCAAAACCCAAAAGAAGAAAUCUCUUUCUGACAAAUAAGCCUCCUUCAACCACUGCAGAAGACUCUCCCAAAGAACCAUUACAGACAGAAGACUGAUCCUCUCCUUGAACAGCCAAGUGAGUAACAUCAUUGAAGGUUCUGGAUGUUAGAUUUUCAACUUCAUCUGAAAGGAAAAAAAACAAACAAAACAGAACAAAAACAAACCCCAACAAACCACAGUAAUAUUGCUUGACAAGAACAUCAAAGACAACUCAAAAUAGUGUCAUGAAGAAAUGACAGUAUUCUAUUACUUUCAGCCAGGUUUUAGUUAAAAGCUCUACAUCAGCCUGUUUAAAUUUGAUUUCUAAAAAACAAUACAGAAGUUAACAUACUACAUGUGGCUAGCUUUUUAAUAAGCAAAUGCUGCAAGCACUCAAAUGCUAAUUAUGAGCAGUUAAACUUUCUAUGGUAUGCUGAGCCUCGAACAUACCUGAUGUAGAAUCAUUAUUUACAUAGAGAGAGAGGAAGUCAUCUUCAGCAGCUUUCUGGUGCUUUAUAACGUCCACAGGUUCUUUCUUCAAGAGACUGUUCUUUCUGGGAGGAAUUGACUUCAUUCCAGGUCGCUCCAAAAUUGGGUUCUCUAACGGCUGGUAAUUUAGAGGGAUAUAUUGCUCGACUGGAUGUAGAUAACCUUUAAUAAAUGACUCCAGCAACCAUUUUGCUGUCACUACAUGAGGCCUAUAAAAUAAAGUGUUAUACAAACAAGUUACAGCAGGUAUCAGAA